AAGAAUUAAAUGGAUGAAAUAUGAAAUUUUAUUAAAAUAAAAAGGGGUGAAAAGAACAAAGUUUUGUCCAUCUUUGUUCAUCAUAGCCGAAAGUUAGAGAAGAGAAAGGAGAGGAGAAAGCUCUUGAGUAUUCGGUCACUAGGAGGAGGAAAAUUGAAGGUGGUUCGUGUGUGGAUCUCGUCAGCAUAUCGUCGCAAACAGGUAAACCCCAACCAUAGUGGGCUUGGAGCUGUGAGGGAAUUCGGAGUGGCCACACGUUCUGCAAAUUCCUGUUUUCUUCCGGUGAAUUGGACAUCUUUUCUUUUAUUUUUAUGAUUUGGGUUUUAAGUUGUAAUAAGGCCGCUUAAUUA